rnacentral:rRNA from 1 species
GACAGAGGUGCCGAGCGUUAGGCGGAAUCACUGGGCUUAAAGCGUGUGUAGGCGGGCGGGCAAGUACCUUGUGAAAUCCCACGGCUCAACCGUGGAACUGCUUGGUAUACUGGCGGUCUUGAGCCACUUAGGGGCUACCGGAACAAAUGGUGGAGCGGUGAAAUGCGUAGAUAUCAUUUGGAACGCCAAUGGUGAAAACAGGUAGCUGGGAGUGUGCUGACACUGAGACACGAAAGCCAGGGGAGCAAACGGG